rnacentral:piRNA from 1 species
UAUUUUUAGAAGAUGGGACUAGAGAU